ACGUGAACAAUUAAGGGCGCGCGGUGGAUGCCUAGGCUCUCGGAGGCGAUGAAGGACGCGAUAAGCCGCGAUAGGCCACGGCGAGGUGCAAGUAACCCUUGACCCGUGGAUUUCCGAAUGGGGCAACCCGGCCGUCUAGAUGACGGUCAUGCAUUAAUGCAGGCGAACGCGGGGAACUGAAACAUCUCAUUACCCGCAGGAGAAGAAAACAAAAUGUGAUUCCCCCAGUAGUGGCGAGCGAACGGGGAAGAGCCCAAACCGUUGCCGUUUCGGCGACAGCGGGGUCAUGGGACCGCGACAUUCGACGGAAGACGAAGUGCAAUUACCUGGAAAGGUAAGCCGUGGAGGGUGACAGCCCCGUGCACGACACCUCUUUCGAAGAUAGCGGGAUCCCGAGUAGGGCGGGACACGAGAAAUCCUGCCUGAAUUCGCCAGGACCUCCUGGCAAGGCUAAAUACUCCCGAGAGACCGAUAGUGAACCAGUACCGCGAGGGAAAGGUGAAAAGUACCCCGAGCAGGGGGGUGAAAUAGACCCUGAACCCGCGCGCCUACAAGCGGUCGGAGCCGGGUAAUCCGGUGACGGCGUGCCUUUUGCAUAAUGAGCCUACGAGUUAGUCGUCACCAGCGAGGUUAAGGGCUUCAGGCCCGUUAGCCGAAGUGAAAGCGAGCC
rnacentral:rRNA from 1 species